AGUGCUCGAGAAGCCUUAGGGAAGUCUCGUAUUCCUGCUGGCAGACUGAAGAGAGGAGGACCUUAAACACUUCCUCUGUCAAAGCAAGCAGUGAGGAAGAGAAGAAAUAUCAAGCUAUAUUGUGCUGUAGGAAUUCUUCCAGGUCUACAGUACAGAAACGAUGCCACUUCCAAUGAUGACAACCAGAGAGAGAGGACUUCCUCUGAGAAUCCCUUUGAUAUACAGAAACCUAUCCAUCAGUCUUUCAAUGUUCAGGAUCAUUAUUCAAGUAGCUAUUCCAGAUUUUGCUGGAUACGUCAGAACUCCUCCUGCAACCUAGGUGAACAGUGGGACUUCUUCCUAUUUACAGAAAUGGAAAAAUGGAUUAUUAUUAUUAUGACAACAUGAAAAGUACAUUGUUACUAUGACAAUAAAACGGAGAGCAAAUGUCGAGAUUCACAUUCA